AUGGUAAAUAUUAAAAAAUUUUUUUGAUGACUAAAUUCACUAUGGCUGAAAGAAAAUUGAAAUUUUCGCUUUACAACGACUCCUUGAAACUCGCUGCACGAUUUUUUUCAUCAUUUUGUUAAACUUUGAACUUUGGAGUUGGACGACAAAGUGUUUAUACCAUUAUUAGAAAUAUGUUUAAAAGAAUAUAGCCCGCUGGCACACAUAUUUUUCACCGAAAUUACUUAUUUAAUACUGGAAUAAAAAUCGAUACAACAAAGAUUAUAAAUCUUAUGUUUGUUUCAUAGAAGAAUGUUGACGAAAUCUUGAUAUGCUAUUCAGUUGACCUCUUAUUUCAAAGGGGAUGAUGCGCUAGAAAAUCUGUUUGGACUUCUUAACGCAAAAAUUAAUUUUUUUAACUUUUACAAUGAAAUUUUACGAAGUUGGUUGCUGGAGCAAAGGCAGGACAUUGAAAAUAUAACGGAACUGAUGUUUAAUCUAAUGAAAUACAUGAAUCAUUCUGAAAGAAAUGAAAUUUUGGAAUCAUUGACACAAUUCGAUAUUCUAAUAGUAAAAGAUGUUCUACGAUACGCUUUAUCUGAGAUACAUAGGAAUGAUGAUAUAGCAAAAAAUUGGUAUUCACAGUCUAAAAUUAUUACUACAUUGACAGUUACAGCAAAACACAUUACUUUAUAUUAUUCAAAAAUAUUAGUUGGCAAUGAUUAUUUUGAUCUGAAAAAAAUCAGAAUCUUAUGUUAUUAUUGUUUGAAGCUCUAAAAGAAGACGAUCUGUCAACAAACGAAGAAACAAUAGUCAAUGAAAUCAUAUCUGUAUUUUGCAAUUCAUUUUAUAAAAUAGAUGAAAAAUAUUUUCUGGAUUUCAUGAACUUUAUUUAUUGUCUAGUUCCAAUAGCAUGGUCUAACAAGAAAACAAUAGUUGGGUACGAAUAUUAGAAAUUCUUUUCGAACUACGUUUGAAAAAUUACUUUGAUUGUAAUCAUCUUUUCACCAAUGUAAUACGAAGUAUGUGGACAAAAAGUCUUCUGGAAACAGUCCGAAAAUUAUUACAAUCACGUUUAUUAACGUGACUAAAUUGUGUGCAAUUUUUAUGUGGAAUAAUUACAAAAUAUAUCAAGAACGUAUAAGAAAAUAUCAUUCGUAUAAGAAAGAAAUAUUAGUCAAUACAGCAGCUGAUUUUGACAAAACCAUACAUAAUGAUAAGGUUUCCUAUGCAGAGGAAAUUAUUUCAACAUUUUUAAAGAUUUCUGAUAUAACAGCAUGGAUAUAUCAGAAUAAAAAAUCUAACCCGAACCUAAUCCAUUAAAUUAGUUACUAAAUAAAAUAGUUGGGUUUAAGUAAAGUUCUGGUUAGGUCUUUUCUUCAGGUCGCCGUGAGGCGGCCGGCUACUCAAAUCGAAUUUUUAAGUACACCGGUCUACGCCGGCCGCCUCGAGGUAUUUAUAGGUAUUUAUAGAAACUAUAAACAAUCGGCGACUGAACGCUUACACACGCUGCCACAGGCACGUAGCUAGGCAAUAUUCAUCGGAGUAGUAGUAAUAGUUUUUUGCAAAAAUCUCGGAAACUAAGGCCGAACGGCGGUUAUAUGUAUAGGAAAAAGUUGUUCAAAAUGUUAAUCUCUACAACAUAUUCAAAAAUCGUCGAAAUCGGUUAGACCCCCUCCCCCCUUUUCUAAAUAAUUACCAAAAAUUGUUAAUACAUUUUCAAACUACAAUACAUUUUCGUAAAUAUACAUUUUUGUAAAACAGCGAACAUAAUAUUUAAAUCUUUCCCUUUUGUCCAAAGCAACGAAUACAGAGAUAGUGCAGUAAAUAUUAAUGUAAAUAAUUCUAUUCAGAAUGAUCGAGUAAGAAUUAGCACUUAAAUAUCUUUGUCAUUUUGGAGUUAUGUAGUAUAUGCGUUAAUUGACAGUAAUAAUUUUUUUUGUAGCUGGAGAUUUCGGGACUUCAAAAUUAACAUCACUUUUUGAAGUGGAAUAAUAUAUGCAUAAAUCGAUAUUCUCUAUAAAAAAAAUAAUGAUUUAUGUGUAUUGAAAAAUUUUUGAUUUAGGUAGGAAAUUUUAACUUUAAAUUUGCAAAAUUUGUUAUAUGAUUUUUUAUGUGAUAUUGUUAAACAUAAAAUGUUAUUUAUGUAGUAGGGGAAAGUAGAGUUGAGCCGGGUAUAUAAUGUAUCUAGCUUCGUAACAAAAAAUUGGUUGGCAGAAAAAGAUUCGCAUAAGACUAAAUCUCUUAAUUGGACUUUAUACAAUAAGAAAAUGACUAAACUUUCCUUUGGCCCAAAAAGCUUGUUUGGCUCAUGAAAAAGUAAAAUUUUCUAGAGAUAUGUAAAAAUUUGGUUUUACGCCAUUGAGGUAAGAUAGGUAAAAUCGGAUACCUAUUAAAAGACAUUAUGGGAACGUAUAAAAU